CUCCUCGUAGUUCAAUGGAUAGAACGGGCGCCUCCUAAGCGCCAGAUACAGGUUCGAUUCCUGUCGAGGAGACCA
rnacentral:tRNA from 1 species